UGGAAUGUAGCUCAGUGGUAGAGCACUUGCCUACCAUGCAUGAACCCUAGGUUUAAUCCCUAGCACUACAA
rfam:Heterocephalus glaber contig121952, whole genome shotgun sequence.